CCUACGGGUGGCAGCAGUGAGGAAUAUUGGUCAAUGGGCGCGAGCCUGAACCAGCCAAGUCGCGUGAGGGAAGACGGUCCUAUGGAUUGUAAACCUCUUUUGCCGGGGAGCAAAAGACGCCACGCGUGGCGUUCCGAGAGUACCCGAAGCUAAAGCAUCGGCUAACUCCGUGACAGCAGCCGCGGUAAUACGGAGGAUGCGAGCGUUAUCCGGUUUUAUUGGGGUAAACGGGUCAGCAGGCGGAAGAUCAAGUCAGCGGUAAAAUUGAGGGGCUCAACCUCUUCCAGCCGUUGAAACUGGUUAUCUUGAGUGAGCGAGAAGUAUGCGGAAUGCGGGGUGUAGCGGUGAAAUGCAUAGAUAUCACGCAGAACUCCGAUUGCGAAGGCAGCAUACCGGCGCGCAACUGACGCUCAUGCACGAAAGUGUGGGUAUCGAACAGGAUUAGAUACCCUGGUAGUC
rnacentral:rRNA from 1 species